rnacentral:rRNA from 1 species
GUGGGGAAUAUUGCACAAUGGGCGCAAGCCUGAUGCAGCAACGCCGCGUGAGGGAUGACGGCCUUCGGGUUGUAAACCUCUUUUAGUAGGGAAGAAGCGUAAGUGACGGUACCUGCAGAAAAAGCACCGGCUAACUACGUGCCAGCAGCCGCGGUAAUACGUAGGGUGCAAGCGUUGUCCGGAAUUAUUGGGCGUAAAGAGCUCGUAGGCGGCUUGUCGCGUCUGCCGUGAAAACCCAGGGCUCAACUCUGGGCGUGCGGUGGGUACGGGCAGGCUAGAGUGCGGUAGGGGAGAUUGGAAUUCCUGGUGUAGCGGUGGAAUGCGCAGAUAUCAGGAGGAACACCGAUGGCGAAGGCAGAUCUCUGGGCCGUAACUGACGCUGAGGAGCGAAAGCAUGGGGAGCGAACAGGAUUAGAAACCCCAGUAGUCC